UUGCUGGAUAGAAAUGUGGCCAAAGAGUUCAAUAAAAGGGCACAGCUGCUUAAAGACUGUUACCGGAAAGGAAUCCUGAUCCAGACGCCAAGAGAGGGUUCUUGGACUCAUGCAAGAAAGACUUCAGAAUACGAGUUUUGAAUUUUUGAAUUGCUGUUAAAACUUUCAUCAUGAACACUGAAGUGAGUGAAAAGAGACUUUUGCAGUCAUUUUUUUGUUCUCAGGUCCCUGGACCAUGAAGGGCCACAUCCAAGGAGCUACCCCAGGAGGCCUCUCAUUUGCAUUUGUCCCCGCUAAUGCAGGACAGAGAUCAUGGAAGUUGGGCCCGACUGGAUGAGAUUUGGGGGUCUUUGGAAGUGGAGAAUGUGUUUGCCCUGGGGAAGAGAGGUGAUGUCUAGGAGACCUCUUCACUCAGGGCAAGCUCUAUGACCUGCUUUGACUCCAGAAUGUGGUAGAAGUGGCAUCACAUAAAUUGCAGAGCCUAGGCUUCAAGAGACCUUGCAACUUGCCUCUCACUGACUUGAAGUGCUCCCAUCAGAGCAUCUUGUAAGGAGCAGGUGGAGCAUGUGGACAAGCCAUCCCCACCAGCCCCUGAGACAUGUGAGAGAGGCCAGAACAGGCCAUCCGGACCCCACUGUGCUGGUGGAUGAGACAGCAGAAGGAAUAUCAACCUACCAACAGAAUCCUGAGAAAUGCUCACUCUUACUUCAAGCUGCUGCAUUUUGAUGUUAUGAAACCAUAAAUAACUUAUGAAGUCAUCUUUGCUGACUUAAAGUUUUCCAUAACUUUAUUAUAACAUAUCAAAAUUAUGAAAAAUGUGAAAAGUAGAAAACUGAUGAAUUUUGCUUCUUCAUAUGGUCUUUAAGAAUCUCAAAGGCACUGAAGUUUUUUAUCUUUUCUGUCUUAGAAUAAAAAACCUUGAAUGAAAAUCUGCUUCUUGGAAAAGCAGCAAGGUUUAUGCAGAGGCAAUCUGGUAUUUGUGUGCACUGGCAGCUGAUCAUACCCAGCAUGCACGCACUCUCAGGGCAGAGUCUGAUGCCCCACAUAAUGGGGCAUGGUAAGGACUCCCAUGUCCUUGAGAUAAAAUGAUAAGGAAAAUACACACUGCUAUUAGAAUAACAGGCCCAGCUUCUGCACAUUUUAAUUCCCAAAGUUUUCAUGAAAGACAAUGAUUUUUUGGUACCAUGUUUAACUCUACAAGAAUCAGUAGUGAAAACUAAAAAUGAUACUUUGUGAAAGUUCAUUAAUUUUGUUUUCAGCCAGUGGUGGCCUUGGUCAGAUAGAAUCAAAUCUAUGAUACUUUUUAUCAGAAAUGCUUAUACUGUGUACAAACCCAAAGUGAUGGCUUUCAAAGAUUGAAUUUGAUUAUUUUCUGUAUGGUGCAGAUGAAAAAUUACUACACAGGAGAAGGUGGGUUGGAGGUGCUCACGAGUAACCAGGAAACAGUCUGAAGUUUUUCUGAUACUUCUCCUUGGUCCAACCAAAUGUGAGAUAUAAACACAAACUUGGGAUUCCGUUCUUAUGUUUUGGUUGUUUCAGUCUUUACAGAUGUAUCGAAAGGCUGUCCAAAAAUGUCUGACUUCUGUAGUGUGCCUUCGUAGCACUAGAGGGUUCUGCAGCUGUGAAACUGAAGGCAUUGGCAAGAAGCCCUCCAUCUUCAAACCACUUUCUGCUAAGGUGUGGCUCUAUAAAACCACUAUGAGCUGGGCUUCACUGAGACUGAGUUGUUUCAGUAGGAUCUUCCGGAAAAACAUGUUCCCUCCUUUACCUGGGUUGUCAUUCUGAGAACAAUCACACCUCCAAUUUUGGCUUACUAAGCAAUAGCGUUUUAAUGAUUUUAAGCCAGGAUUUGCUCCUCCUUUCCUCAGUAUGAGAGCUUAACCACUGGAGGAACCAAGAAUUCAUGCUGGUUGGGUUCUGAUUCCACUUUAACUUACUGUAUAGCCUCAUCCCUUGUUUUUCUGGAGAUUCUCUUUUUCUGCUUCACUGAUUUAUAUUUACAUUAAAAUCAAAUGAGGCCAUGUUUCUGAAAUCACAUUGUCCCUACAUGGUCAUUACAAUGAGUCUGUAAUGUGACUGAAAGACAGCCAUGGAUACAGGUAGAGGAUAUCAGGCAAUUGAAUGCUCAUCAAGCAUUCAAUUCAGGGCAAAUGGCAUAAGGUAUGCAGUUGGCCUCUUCUGAUAUCUGUGUCUUAAUCCUUUCUUUAGCCUCUGUUUUCUGGACCAAGGCUAAGAUAUUUUCUGGGCACAGUGGCUCAUGCCUAUAAUCCCAGCACUCUGGGAGGCCAAGGUGGGAGGAUUUCUUCAGCCCAGGAGUUCGAGACCAGCCUGGGGAACAUAGGAGACCUCAUUCCUACAAAUAAUAAAAAAAAUUAGCCAGCUCUGGUGGCGUGUGCUUAUUGGUCUCAGCUACUUGGGAGGCUGAGGUGGGAGGACUGCUUGAGCCCAGAAGAUCGCAGCUGCAUUGAGCCAUGAUUGUGCCACUGAACCCUAGCCUGAGCAACAGAGCAAGGCCUUAUCUCAAAAAAAAAAAAAAAUUCUGAGCCUUCUAAUUUUUUUUUUCUUUAAUUAACUUUCUGUAAGCCCAGCAAGUAAAUAAAACACUUAUUUUAUGAAGCAUCUAGUUGCUUUUAGGGGAAGGGACAUCCUCCGCAUAGUAUCUAGGCCAGCUCACUUUCUUCUCCUUACUGUUGAUUUACUCUCUGCCAUUGAAUCUUCUGUGCCAAUGUUGGAUUAAUGUUUCCGGGCCCUACUUUCAUCAUGCUCCUCUGUAUUAUCACCUGUUUUGGUUUACAGCAAUGAUUUUUAAGGUAAGGCAUGGUGUGUCCAUCAUAGUCACAUGGGAACUUUUUCAAGCCAUAUUAAAAAUGUCCCCCAUUCAUCAUUCUGCCCCUGGAACAGUGUGUGCAGUUGGGACCUUCAAGUAAAUCUACUUUGUUGAAACCCACUGAUCAGCAUGGUGUAUUUCAUAACUCUUUGACUUACAUUCAAGAAAUUCCUUAACCUGAACUCCAUUUUACUCUUUUUUUCAUUCAUUCAAAUUAAGAAUAUUGCCUGAACAUGAAUUAUCUGCUAGACGUUUUUCUAGGUGCAGGAGGAGUAAGGAUGAACAUAACUAGCCAUAACUAUAGCUAUCAAUUGUGGAGUGUCUGUUAUGUGCCAGGCACUUUUAAGUGACCUACUCGAUUUACUUGCAUGACAAACUGUGAGGAAAAGCCCAAUAUUAUCCCCUAUUAACAGAUGAGGAAACUGAAGCACAAACAGCAUGAAUAGUUUGUUCCAGAUUGCAUCAUAAGAGGCACAGCCAGCUUUCCUACCAAAGCAGCCCUGGCCCAGAGUCCGUACUCCCUCCUCCCCUGCCUCUGCCUGGUGGAUAAGGUCACCCUGGCCUUGUGGAACUUAUGCUCUAGUGGGGACAAAUAGUUAUAGAGAAUGACCGAUGUUACUAAGAAAAUAAAAGCUGGUAAGAAAACAGAAGCACUGAGGAGGUGACUGAAGUGAGCAUUUAUAAUUUUAUGUUAUAUCCAUUGUAAAAUAUAAGUUUAGCUUUCUCAUACCAGAAGCAGGGCUCAGUCCACCCUUGACUCAGUUUCCAAUACUGUUCCCCAUCAGAAUGGCUCUUGCUGGUGGCCAGAAGUAAAACUUAGAAAUAUCUCUCUCAGAGACACCUAAGCAGGCUGGGCUCCCCGGUUUCCUGUUGCUUCCUUUAAAGAAGCUCUUCAGACAUCUGCACAAGAACUCAAAGUGACCACCUCUCAGCCCAGCAUGACCUACUGGAACUAAUGCCUGCUUGCUUUCAACCUACCAAUUAAAGCUCCCCAGGAAACCUGUUUAGAUAACACCCUGGACCCAAGAAAGGUGCUGGGCCAUGGGUUUCUUCUCUCUCUCCCUAUCUGUGCUCCCUGACCCCCUGUGUGUGUGUGGUCUCUAGGCUUGCCUUCUAUCCCUGAGGGUCUGUAAAUACUAAAAACACUUAAACUUUCAUAUUGUAGUUGUGUCUUUGAAGCCAGGUCCCCAUCCCGUACCUUGAGGGCAAGGCCUCCUGGAAGGGACCCAUGUAGGUGGAUCCCCUGCUGUCCAGGCCUCUUAGCUGCUGGGGUAGUGACCAGUUAAGUGGAUAGAGUUUCAUUCAAAACAAUAAUCAUUCAACUGUAUCUCACAUCAAACCUCUGCUCUAGUUUAUGUAUCUACUUUAUGUUCUUAGAAGACUGUGCAAACACAUUGUCUUUUUUGAGUACCUGUCUUGUCCUAGGUACUCUGCUUGGUACGGGGAGAGACGAAUCUUCUGUCUUCAGGGGCUUCCACUCCAGCAGGGAGAACAUGACUAAUAGUGACUGCCUGCUGCUGUAGGUAAUAAGUGGCUCCCACUAGGCCCUCCAUUUGGUGGCCCCCUGUCCCUCUCACUGGUGGAAGCCUACCUGUCCUCUAAGGACCAGCUCACUAAUGUCCUAGAUCCUCACGGACCAGAUUGCUUUUCUCAGAACUGAAGAGCACUUACUAAUGGCACCUCUUGUCAUAUGCCAUCCCAGGAUUUGAAUUUUUUUUUUUUUUCUGUCUUGUGGCCCAAAUAAAUCCUGAACUCCUCGAGGGCUGGGAGUGUAUCUAGCAGUUUCCUUAUACUGGACUAAUCAGAUGCUGACUAGGUAGCAGUGAGAAAAAUCUAGAAAUUCCCUUUUAGCCACAUCGACUUACACGAGGGGAUGUGUGUAAGGUACUAUAGCUCUUUAAACAAGAGGUGGUCUCGUUUGAAGGGUGGAUUGAUGUGGGUGUUCAAAUGAUGUCACAAGUGGCUGGUUUCUCUGUCUCCAUUUCUUUUUUUUUUGGCUCCAUUUCCAAAUUUCCCAGAUAGCACAGCAAGUUGGCCCCAGCAGCUCUAGACACUCCAUCUUCUCAGGGCAUAGCCAACACAAUAAAAUAUUUCAAGUUCCUGAAAGAUAGCUGAAAUAAGCCCUAGAAGUUUCUGGAUUGGGAGCAGAGCCAAACCUGCCAGCUCACAUAGAUGAGGGCAGGGAAUAGGGUGUCUCACGAUCACAGUGUCCUGCCUUCUGAUUUGCCUGGGACUGUCCUGUUUUGGCACCAAAAAUAUCUGCAUCCUAGGAAACCCUCAGGUCCUGGGCAAAUUCAGACAGUGACUUGCCCUAUCAGAAGCAAAGCAAGGUGCCAUUACCUGAGGUGGGCAAAUUCAGACAGUGACUUGCCCUAUCAGAAGCAAAGCAAGGUUGCCAUUACCUGAGGUGGGCAAAUGGAGGCUGGGUGGCCAGUGAGUGACCAAUAACCCCAGCAUUGGAGAGAGUGGAGCAGCCCUUCAAGAAGUUCCAACCUCUGCCCAGGACUGGUUUUACCAACUUCACUAGGCUUAGAAUCGUAGGAAGUCUAUUUGGGACUUGCGAGUCUCACGUAUUCCUGCCUAAAUGUUUAUGGAUACCUGUUUAGAGCUGAAAUCUUUUCAGCUCCCAUAAUAUGAGGGAAUUAGGUCUCAAAGAAGAUCAUGUAUUUUGAUCAGACCUUAUAGCUGAGCAGUGGAAAGAAAAAAAAUCAGUGUGAGAUCUCCCAGGGUUCCGCAGGAGUGGCUUCCUUAGUCCAACUGGCAGCCUAUCCUGGAAUAUUGCCUGGGAGAGAGGUUAGUUGCUUUUCCUGGUGCUAGGAACUGAAUGGUUUUACAUAUUGAUCAAUGAAAAUACUUAUUUGGCCUACAAUAGGUGCAAAAAUACUGCUAAUUACUAACAGUAUCUCUUCUUUGCUGCGUGCCAGACACUCCACUGGGCAUUAUGCAGUUAAUAUGUACCAUGAAUUUCCCGUGGUUAGCAAUGAUGUCAGGCAUAGAAAAGACAUGAAAUUAUGAUGUCAAAUGAAUAAACUGGAAAAAGGAAUUUCUUGAAUUUUCUCCAGCUGUCCUAAGAAUGUAUCUAUACUUUGAUCCUGGCCUACCUUUUCAACAUCUAAACUUUAUUCCCCCAAGCUUCUAGAUAUUCAAAGUUAAGUAUUAAAUAAAAUCAGUAAAUAUAUACAAGCUUGUUUGGCCAUUCUGAAUAAGGUUAUAUUUCCACCACACAAUCUCCAAAUUCUCUAGCAGAAGGGAUCAGUAUGUUAUAGAUACCCCCUUUCCUUCCCUCCCUGGCAAGCCACCACAUCUGUUAUGGGUACUCAAUGCAGUGGCUGCACCUGGGCCUCACUCAUUAAGCAGUUGUUGAUUGAGUGACUGAAUUGAAUGCCUGAUGAGCUCGCAAGUAAGAUUCAGACUGUGCCUGCAAACUAAUAGGAUCCCUCCGCUUUUUAUUCACUACUGCUGAGGUAGAUCUCAGGCCAGCCUGAAGUUUAGGUCUACUGAGAAAUAAUAAGCCUCAAAAAUCGAGCUUUGCUUCACCCAGUCUCCCAGUAAACACUAAGAAAUGUUCACAUUAUUUACACAUCCUAGACUGCCUGUCUUAUGGACCAAAUGUUUGUGUUCUCCCCGCAAUUUAUACAUUGGAAUCCUAACCCUCAAUGUAAUAGCAUUAGGUGCUGGGGUCUUUGGGAGGUGAUUGGCUAAUGGACCUGGAGCCCUCAUGAUGGGAUGAGUCCCCUUAUCAGAAGAGACCUGAGAAGGCUUGCUUCCUCUCCCUGUGCUCUUCAUGAUGUGAAGACACAAGAAGACAGCCAUCUGUGGGCCAGGAAGAGGUCCUCACUGGAACCCAACCAUGCUGGCACCCCAAUCUUGAAUUUCUAGCUUCAAGAACUUGGGAAAUAAAUGUAAGCCAGCCAGCUUAUGGAUUUGUUACAGCAGCCUAAGCUAAGUCAGAGUCUCUAGAACAGCUGGUCUGGGGCAGCGGUGAAGGGAGGUGGGUGGGCAUAUGACCCUGCCCUGCACAUGAAUGGCAAAGGCAACUGGAGAGCCUCUCCCUUUUGGUGAGAUCCCCAGUCCACAAGGGCAUGUUCAUCCAUAGCUUUACUUCCCGAAGCAAAUUCUGGUUCCUGGGGCCUGUGCCUCCAUAGAUGGCAUGAUCUGCAGCCUCCUGUGGUAAUUUACCCUCUUCCUAAAUUUCUGAGUCUUCACAUUUAAGCAAUCCUAGUUAGAUAUCCUCUACCUGUAUCCAUGGCUGUCUUUCAGUCACAUUACAGACUCAUUGUGAUGACCAUGUAGGGACAAUGUGAUUUCAGAAACAUGGCCUCAUUUGAUUUUAAUGUAAAUAUAAAUCAGUGAAGCAGAAAAAGAGAAUCUCCAGAAAAACAAGGGAUGAGGCUGUACAGCAAGUUAAAGUGGAAUCAGAACCCAACUGUAGUCCAUUAUUUGUUUCAAUCCUGCUCUUUUCUACCAUAUCACCCAGUUUCCAAAUCGUUCAGCAAAUUGCCAUGGUCAAUGGGAUUAACCUUUCCCUUUUAUUCUCAGGAAAUCUCCCUUGUCCAUUUUGCAAGACUGUGUGAUUCUUUCUACUGUUACAAGGAAUAAAAGCCUUCCUAAAAAGGUCUUUGGUGCCUUUAUUAUUUUACGGAUCAUUUCUGAGGGAAUUAUUGAACUUCAUUAUGUAACCACCCCUUGGGUUCACCUUGCCCACUGCCUAGACAGAGCCAAUUUAUCCAGACAGGAGAAUUGCAAUGGAGAAAGAGUAAUUC
rnacentral:lncRNA from 1 species